rnacentral:tRNA from 1 species
GGGCCUAUAGUCUAAUGGAUCAGGACACUUCGCUUCGGACGAAGAAAUCGGGGUUCGAAUCCUCGUAGGCCCA